rnacentral:lncRNA from 1 species
ACACUGGCCACAUUUUUAUUAUUGUCUUUGUGUCUGUGACAUCACAGCUGUGUAUGUCCUUCUGGCAAAGCUCUCUCCCUCGGUUCCUAUGGUGAGCUUCAGAGAAUGACUUCACAGACCCCAGCAAAGUCGCCUGCCGCUUGACAAGCUCAGAAAGGAGUGGCCCUCGCUGCGCAGGGCUUAUCGUGUUGACAUCCAGAGUUUAAAACGUUCUACUGUGCAUGCUGUCUGUCCUAAAUCUGGUGUAUCAGGAAAAGAACAAGCCAUCCCAGAAUAAUGAGCAGUUGUGUCUGUGGACGUAAAGUUUGGGCUGUAUUUCUUCAGUGACUGACAUCUCAGAGAAGAAUGGAUGUCAGAAAUAUCCACCCAUCUCUGUAGAGAGGCUUGCUGAUGGAGACAAUUAAAAGCAAUGAUUGACAGAUUAGAAAUCCUUAGAACUAUCAAGAAGAAGUGAAGAAAGUAAAAAGACAAAGGGAAUAUGAGAGAAAUGGCAGUGGAGUCACAGUAUGGGAAGAAGGAGUCCACCUUGGUGGCCCUCUCCCUUUGUGUUCCCAACACAACGGAGAGAAUGCAGAACCGAAGCUCUAGAUUCUAGUCUGCCUUGAAGUGCUUGCAUGAGGGUGUACUCCAGUGGAAAGUGUUAUCCUUAUUGCAUUCAGGGUGGAAUUUCAUAAAAAAAAAAAAAAAAAUAUAUAUCCCUGGAGAUGAUGGUAAUGAACUCCAGGUAACCUCAGCAGUAACACCACUGGGAAAAGGCCACCAAACCCACCAAAUCAGGUUUCCUGAGGUUUCAUGA